rnacentral:rRNA from 1 species
CGGGGUGCAGCAGGCGCGAAAACUUCACAAUGGGGGCAACCCCGAUGAGGGAAUUCCAAGUGCUAGCACUUUUUGUGUUAGCUGUUCUCCUGUCUAAAAAACAGGAGAAGUAAGGGCCGGGUAAGACGGGUGCCAGCCGCCGCGGUAAUACCCGCGGCCCGAGUGGUGGUCGAUAUUAUUGAGCCUAAAACGUUCGUAGCCGGUCUUGUAAAUCCUUGGGUAAAUCGGCCAGCUUAACUGUCCGAAGUCCGGGGAGACUGCAAGACUUGGGAUCGGGAGAGGUCAGAGGUACUUCUGGGGUAGGGGUAAAAUCCUGUAAUCCUAGAAGGACCACCGGUGGCGAAGGCGUCUGACUAGAACGAAUUCGACGGUGAGGAACGAAGCCCUGGGGCGCAAACGGGAUUAGAUACCCCGGUAGUCCAGGGUGUAAACGCUGCGGGCUUGGUGUUGGGGGUCCUUAGUGGGCGCCCAGUGCCGGAGAGAAGUUGUUAAGCCUGCUGCUUGGGGAGUACGUCCGCAAGGAUGAAACUUAAAGGAAUUGGCGGGGGAGCAC